GGAGGCGUGGCCGAGUGGCCGAUGGCAGCGGCUUGCUAAGCCGUCGAUGGGGAAACUCAUCCGUAGGUUCGAAUCCUACCGCCUCCG
rnacentral:tRNA from 2 species